UACGUAGGGUGCAAGCGUUGUCCGGAAUUAUUGGGCGUAAAGAGCUCGUAGGCGGUUUGUCGCGUCUGCUGUGAAACCCGAGGCUCAACCUCGGGCCUGCAGUGGGUACGGGCAGACUAGAGUGCGGUAGGGGAGAUUGGAAUUCCUGGUGUAGCGGUGGAAUGCGCAGAUAUCAGGAGGAACACCGAUGGCGAAGGCAGAUCUCUGGGCCGUAACUGACGCUGAGGAGCGAAAGCAUGGGGAGCGAACAGG
rnacentral:rRNA from 1 species